rnacentral:lncRNA from 1 species
GCCACAGAUCUGCACCUCCCACGCAGUCUCUCCCCCACCCCCGCCUCACGAUCUUCUAUAUUUUUUUCCAUCCCUCUUCUUCUCUCCCAAUAGCAUUUUUAUGUGCGAAUCCCAUGGUCAAGAGCAAUUAUGAAGCAGAUGACGAAGCUUCUUCUCCAAUUCAUUUCUCCGCCGUUUUUUGGGAACAACUUCCAGCGUCACAUGACUCCGAUCCGACAUCGACGACCUCUUAGCCUUCAUGACGGUGUAACACCGGUGACGACGAGAUCCGGAUCGAAGCAAACGAGAUUGUUUAGGUUUGUCUGUCAAAUUCCUUCAUUAUUUAAUCAUUUUUAUUUUGCAACUGAUUGAUUUUUUAGAUUAAUUGUUAUGAUGUUGUUGUCUUGAUUCAAUUGUCAAAAAUUACAGUAUGAUUCGAUUCCUAUCAUGUCUUAUUUGUUGAAUAAUUUUGUGAUUUGAGUCUUGCGUUUGUUUAAAUAGAAUAUCAGCAAUUUGUUGAUGUUAUACAUAUUUUGGAUAUUAUUGUGUAUUCUGAUUUGAAUUUUUAUUGCUUUUUUUUUUUGUUUGUCUUUAUGUAUGAAAUAGUUGCGGACAUUGGGAUUAUUUUAUGCAUAGCACAUUCGAUAUCUACGAAGAUCUGUGGAAGAAAACUCAUAUGAUCGGAGUUGUAUCUUGGUCCUAUCUCUGGAAGAAAACUCCUAUCUCAGCCAUGGCAAAGUAGAAGAAAUGAAUUUAUAGAAGUUUUCUCUAAAAUUGGAGUUGUUUAUUUUGUAGUCGAUUUUGUAAAUUUGUAG